rnacentral:rRNA from 1 species
UACGGAAGGUGCAAGCGUUAUCCGGAUUUACUGGGUUUAAAGGGUGCGUAGGUGGGUCUGUAAGUCAGUGGUGAAAUCUCCGGGCUUAACCCGGAAACUGCCAUUGAUACUAUAGGUCUUGAAUUAUCUGGAGGUGAGCGGAAUAUGUCAUGUAGCGGUGAAAUGCUUAGAUAUGACAUAGAACACCAAUUGCGAAGGCAGCUCACUACGGAUAUAUUGACACUGAGGCACGAAAGCGUGGGGAUCAAACAGG